AACGAACGCUGGCGGCAGGCUUAACACAUGCAAGUCGCGCGCCCCGCAAGGGGAGCGGCAGACGGGUGAGUAACGCGUGGGAAUCUACCCAUCUCUACGGAAUAACGCAUGGAAACGUGUGCUAAUACCGUAUACGUCCUUCGGGAGAAAGAUUUAUCGGAGAUGGAUGAGCCCGCGUUGGAUUAGCUAGUUGGUGGGGUAAAGGCCUACCAAGGCGACGAUCCAUAGCUGGUCUGGGAGGAUGAUCAGCCACACUGGGACAGAGACACGGCCCAUACUCCUAACGGUGGCAGAGAUGGGGAAUAUUGGACAAUGGGCGCAGGCGUGAUCCAGCCAUGCCGCGUGAGUGAUGAAGGCCAUAGGGUUGUAAAGCUCUUUCACCGGUGAAGAUAAUGGCGGUAACCGAAGAAGAAGCCGCGGCUAACUUCGUGCCAGCCGCCGCCGAAAAAC
rnacentral:rRNA from 1 species